rnacentral:rRNA from 1 species
GACGAACGCUGGCGGCGUGCUUAACACAUGCAAGUCGAACGGAAAGGCCCUGCUUUUGUGGGGUGCUCGAGUGGCGAACGGGUGAGUAACACGUGAGUAACCUGCCCUUGACUUUGGGAUAACUUCAGGAAACUGGGGCUAAUACCGGAUAGGAGCUCCUGCUGCAUGGUGGGGGUUGGAAAGUUUCGGCGGUUGGGGAUGGACUCGCGGCUUAUCAGCUUGUUGGUGGGGUAGUGGCUUACCAAGGCUUUGACGGGUAGCCGGCCUGAGAGGGUGACCGGCCACAUUGGGACUGAGAUACGGCCUAGACUCCUACGGGAGGCAGCAGUGGGGAAUAUUGCACAAUGGGCGGAAGCCUGAUGCAGCAACGCCGCGUGCGGGAUGACGGCCUUCGGGUUGUAAACCGCAUUCGCCUGUGACGAAGCGUGAGUGGCGGUAAUGGGUAAAGAAGCACCGGCUAACUACGUG